rnacentral:rRNA from 1 species
GAUGAACGCUGGCGGCGUGCCUAAUACAUGCAAGUCGAGCGAACAGACGAGGAGCUUGCUCCUCUGACGUUAGCGGCGGACGGGUGAGUAACACGUGGAUAACCUCCCUAUAAGACUGGGAUAACUUCGGGAAACCGGAGCUAAUACCGGAUAAUAUAUUGAACCGCAUGGUUCAAUAGUGAAAGACGGUUUUGCUGUCACUUAUAGAUGGUUCCGCGCCGCAUUAGCUAGUUGGUAAGGUAACGGCUUACCAAGGCAACGAUGCGUAGCCGACCUGAGAGGGUGAUCGGCCACACUGGAACUGAGACACGGUCCAGACUCCUACGGGAGGCAGCAGUAGGGAAUCUUCCGCAAUGGGCGAAAGCCUGACGGAGCAACGCCGCGUGAGUGAUGAAGGUCUUCGGAUCGUAAAACUCUGUUAUUAGGGAAGAACAAAUGUGUAAGUAACUAUGCACGUCUUGACGGUACCUAAUCAGAAAGCCACGGCUAACUACGUG